rnacentral:rRNA from 1 species
GUGCACGCUGGCGGUAGGCCUAACACAUGCCCGUCGCACGGCAGCACAGUAAGCGCUUGCUCUUGCGGGUGGCGAGUGGCGGACGGGUGAGGAAUACAUCGGAAUCUACUUUUUCGUGGGGGAUAACGUAGGGAAACUUACGCUAAUACCGCAUACGACCUACGGGUGAAAGCAGGGGAUCUUCGGACCUUGCGCGAUUGAAUGAGCCGAUGUCGGAUUAGCUAGUUGGCGGGGUAAAGGCCCACCAAGGCGACGAUCCGUAGCUGGUCUGAGAGGAUGAUCAGCCACACUGGAACUGAGACACGGUCCAGACUCCUACGGGAGGCAGCAGUGGGGAAUAUUGGACAAUGGGCGCAAGCCUGAUCCAGCCAUACCGCGUGGGUGAAGAAGGCCUUCGGGUUGUAAAGCCCUUUUGUUGGGAAAGAAAAGCAGCAGGUUAAUACCCCGCUGUUCUGACGGUACCCAAAGAAUAAGCACCGGCUAACUUCGUG